GACAGAGGAUGCAAGCGUUAUCCGGAAUGAUUGGGCGUAAAGCGUCUGUAGGUGGCUUUUUAAGUCUGCCGUCAAAUCCCAGGGCUUAACCCUGGACAGGCGGUGGAAACUACCAAGCUGGAGUACGGUAGGGGCAGGGGGAAUUUCCGGUGGAGCGGUGAAAUGCGUAGAGAUCAGGAAGAACAUCGGUGGCGAAGGCGCUCUGCUGGACCAUAACUGACACUCAGGGACGAAAGCUAGGGGAGCGAAUGGG
rnacentral:rRNA from 1 species